rnacentral:rRNA from 1 species
GACAGAGGGUGCAAACGUUGCUCGGAAUUACUGGGCGUAAAGCGCGUGUAGGCGGUCACGCAAGUCAGGUGUGAAAGCCCUGGGCUCAACCCAGGAAGUGCACAUGAUACUACGUGGCUGGAGUACUGAAGAGGAGAGCGGAAUUCCCGGUGUAGCGGUGAAAUGCGCAGAUAUCGGGAAGAACACCCGUGGCGAAGGCGGUUCUCUGGGACGGUACUGACGCUGAGACGGCGAAAGCGUGGGGAGCGAACAGG